AUGCCGGCCCAACAUGGCGGCCUUCUCUCCCCAGCCCACCAGCAGCACCUGAGGAGGAUGCUGGGAGAGCUGAGGGUGCACAAUGCGCAUGCUCCUGAGCCCAAAUCUCGGGAGCCCGCUGGAAUCUCACGGAGUCUGCACGGUGGCCGCCUGGGCUCAGUGGGCGGGGACUUCGCAGGAGAAGCAGCCGAGGGAAGAGCCGCAAGAUGGGUACGAGGGAUGGAGGGGUCCUGUGGGCGAAAUUUAUCGUCUUGUGUUAGCAAAGAAAUACACAGACAUAGCAUCCUCUUACAGCUCUGUAGCAAUUACAGGAUAGAUCCUCCAGAGUAUAGGCAACGGCAGAGAUGAAGUUCACGUGCUUCACGCUACAUUUCCUUGGCAUGGUAUUUUAUGUCGAUCCUCAGAAGUGGAUGUGGGCACCAAUCACUGUAUUGUAGGUACUUUUUUCUCAACUCUUCAACCUGUAAACAUGUGACGUGACGGGGACAGCACCCCAUAAAGGUCCAGUUUUUCAUUUAUUAAUAUACAGAAAUGACCAUUUCCUUAAGUUUUGGUCACAUCACCUACAGGAGAAUUUGUGUGAUUGUGAACAUUCUAGUAGGAUUAUGCUUUUAUUUGGGCUCCUGGGUGAUGUUUUCAAAUUGUAAUUUCUUUGUCCUUAAUUUCCUUAUUGAUGAUCUGUAUAUCGGUUGCCCUGACCUCGGGUUUUCUCCUCUCAGAUUUUAUUUUAUUUUUUUAAAGAUUUUAUUUAUUUAUUCAUGAGAGACACAGAAAGAGUGAGUCAGAGACACAGGCAGAGGGAGAAGCAGGCUCCAUGCAGAGAGCCCGAUGUGGGACUUGAUCCCUGGACUCCAGGACCAUGCCCUGGGCUGAAGGCACGCACCAAACCGCUGAGCCACCCAGGGAUCCCUCUCAGAUUUUAAAAACUAAAAAUAGGCAAUGCUUUCUGCUUUUCAGGGGAGAAACAAUAAAAUACAUUUACGUUCUCUAUAUUACA
rnacentral:lncRNA from 1 species